rnacentral:rRNA from 1 species
AAUGACAAUGAUAUCAAAAUGCUUCUCUCUUCUAUAAUGCACCACUUCUCAUCAAAACUCUGAAAUUAAGCAUGUUUGGGCGAGAGUAGUAAUCGAAUGGGUAACCUCUUAGGAAGUUCUCGUGUUACACCC